GAAUAUUCGUCAAUGGGGGAAACCCUGAACGAGCAAUGCCGCGUGAAGGAUGACGGUCCUCUGGAUUGUAAACUUCUGUUGUUAGGGAAGAACGACCUGUCUAGGAAAUGAUACAGGAGUGACGGUACCUUUCAAGAAAGCUACGGCUAACUACGUGCCAGCAGCCGCGGUAAUACGGAGGGAGCGAGCGUUAUCCGGAUUUAUUGGGUGUAAAGGGUUCGUAGGCGGCUUCUUAAGUCUGUAGUCUAAGCCCGGAGCUUAACUCCGGUUCGCUACAGAAACUGAGUUGCUUGAGUGUAGUAGAGGCAAGUGGAAUUUCUAGUGUAGCGGUUAAAUGCGUAGAUAUUAGAAGGAACACCAGUGGCGAAGGCGACUUGCUGGGCUAUUACUGACGCUGAGGAACGAAAGCGUGGGGAGCGAAUA
rnacentral:rRNA from 1 species